rnacentral:rRNA from 1 species
AGUCUGACGGAGCACGCCGCGUGAGUGAUGAAGGCUUUCGGGUCGUAAAACUUUUGUUAGGGAAGAACAAGUGCUAGUUGAAUAAGCUGGCACCUUGACGGUACCUAACCAGAAAGCCACGGCUAACUACGUGCCAGCAGCCGCGGUAAUACGUAGGUGGCAGCGUUAUCCGAAUUGUGGUCGAAAAGCGCGAGGAGGUCUUUCUUUAUAUGAAAGACACGGCUCAACAUCGGAGG